GAAAUGUGUCAGAAACGUUGGCAUCGCAGAAGUCGAGUGACAGUGACAAGUCAACUGUGACUGGCGGUGACUUUGAGAAGACGUCUCCAAUGCGGAUCGACUCUCUGGAGAGCCAGCAGUCUGACCAUGAACCCGGUGACCUUGGAGAGAGGCGCAGUGUGCACAGAGAGAGCAGUUUAUCAAACGCGCUCAGGGAGUGGGACAUACCAUACGAAGAACUGGUGAUUGCCGAGAGGAUUGGAACUGGCUGGUUCGGCA